rnacentral:rRNA from 1 species
GACGAACGCUGGCGGCGUGCUUAACACAUGCAAGUCGAACGGUAAGGCCCUUCGGGGUACACGAGUGGCGAACGGGUGAGUAACACGUGGGUGAUCUGCCCUGCACUUCGGGAUAAGCCUGGGAGACUGGGUCUAAUACCGGAUAGGACCCUGGGAUGCAUGUCCUGGGGUGGAAAGCUUUUGCGGUGUGGGAUGGGCCCGCGACCUAUCAGCUUGUUGGUGGGGUGAAGGCCUACCAAGGCGACGACGGGUAGCCGGCCUGAGAGGGUGACCGGCCACACUGGGACUGAGAUACUGCCCAGACUCCUACGGGAGGCAGCAGUGGGGAAUAUUGCACAAUGGGCGCAAGCCUGAUGCAGCGACGCCGCGUGAGGGAUGACGGCCUUCGGGUUGUAAACCUCUUUCAGCACCGACGAAGCGCAAGUGACGGUAGGUGCAGAAGAAGGACCGGCCAACUACGUGCCAGCAGCCGCGGUAA